rnacentral:rRNA from 1 species
UUGAGUUCGGGAUACCCCCUCGAAAGGGGGGCUAAUACCGGAUACGUUCCUUGGAUCGACAGGUCUGGGGAGGAAAGGUGGCGCAAGCUGCCGCUCUUGGAGGGGCUCGCGGCCUAUCAGCUAGUUGGCGGGGUAACGGCCCACCAAGGCUAUGACGGGUAGCUGGUCUGAGAGGACGACCAGCCACACGGGGACUGACACCCCGCCCCGACUCCUACGGGACGCAGCAGUGGGGAAUUUUCCGGAAUGGGCGGAAGCCUGACGGAGUGACGCCGCGUGUGGGACGAAGGACUGCGGGUCGUCGGACCGAGGGGCGCGGGACGGAAGGGCUGGGCGCGCCGCGCCCUGGG